CCAACUCAAGUCUUGUCUUUCAAAGCUCCUGCAGAAAAACAAAGCUAGUACCCAACUCAAGUCUUGUCCUUCGAAGCUCCUGCAGAAAAAAUCAAAGUAUGGCUGCAAAAAAAAACAAUUGCUUUCUGCAACUCCAUGCACUUUUCUAUCAUAAUCUAUUAAAAGUCACUAGUGAAUCCUCCAUAAAGGUGUAAAGGUCAUUGAGAAGCAUGUUGCAUAGCUCAACCUAAUUGGGUUUGGUUAAUUGGGUUGGGUCGGGUUGUGUUGGGUUUGACAAAUGAUUAAUCCAACCCAAUCAAUGAACGAGUUGAAAUCAGGUUGUUUAGGUUUAAAGUUGAGUUGAACAUGAGCGGGUUCGGGUUGGCCCAACCCAAGUUGCACCCCUAGUUGUAGAAGAAGUUUGUGCAAUUACAGAGAUGGAUAUGGCGACAAUGGCUUUUAGCGAUUGCAGCUUUAGGCUUUAGCUAGCUUUAAGCUAAGGUUAUCGGUGCAAUUUUGUUAACAUAAGGAAUGCAAGCCCAACCUUCUAUUUAACAAAUUUGAAUGAAGGCCCAGCAAUAUGGGCUUAGAAAAUGGCUUCGGUCGGGUGAUAUAGGGCUACGAGUGAAUGAUACUGCCUUCGGGUGAUUUUGAUACCACUACUAAGAGCACUAUAUGAUAUAUGUUUUACAAAGGUUUUAUGGCAUGCUAGGGUUUUCAGAAAACCUAUUACAUAUUAUGCUAGAUGAGUUUUCAUAAACUUUGGGGGUUAGUACGUUGAUGAAUAAUUGUUUUAGUAUUACUUCUAUAUCAACUUGGUCCACUCAUGCUUUAUUUUGCGUCCCCUCAGGACUUAGAAUCGAGGCGUAUAAUCCUGGCGUAGAGGCACUCUCGCAGCGUAUCUUCGAGUCCUCUCGAUGUAGGACCCAUUUCUUUGUUCAUACAUUCUUUAUAAUAUUCCUUUUUCAAUGUUUU
rnacentral:lncRNA from 1 species